rnacentral:rRNA from 1 species
AACGAACGCUGGCGGCAGGCCUAACACAUGCAAGUCGAGCGAGGACUUCGGUCCUAGCGGCGGACGGGUGAGUAACGCGUGGGAACGUGCCCUUUGGUUCGGAAUAGCCCCGGGAAACUGGGAGUAAUACCGGAUAAGCCCUACGGGGGAAAGAUUUAUCGCCAAAGGAUCGGCCCGCGUUGGAUUAGGUAGUUGGUGGGGUAAUGGCCUACAAAGCCGACGAUCCAUAGCUGGUUUGAGAGGAUGAUCAGCCACACUGGGACUGAGACACGGCCCAGACUCCUACGGGAGGCAGCAGUGGGGAAUCUUAGACAAUGGGGGAAACCCUGAUCUAGCCAUGCCGCGUGAGCGAUGAAGGCCUUAGGGUUGUAAAGCUCUUUCAGUGGGGAAGAUAAUGACUGUACCGGGAGAAUAAGCCCCGGCUAACUCCGUGCCAGCAGCCGCAGUAAAAC